AUUGAACGCUGGCGGCAGGCUUAACACAUGCAAGUCGAGCGAGCGGCGGACGGGUGAGUAAUGUCUGGGAAACUGCCUGAUGGAGGGGGAUAACUACUGGAAACGGUAGCUAAUACCGCAUACCAUCAGAUGUGCCCAGAUGGGAUUAGCUAGUUGGUGGGGUAAAGGCUCACCUAGGCGCCGAUACCUAGCUGGUCUGAGAGGAUGACCAGCCACACGGGAACUGAGACACGGUCCAGACGCCUACGGUAGGCAGCAGUGGGGAAUAUUGCACAAUGGUCGAAAGCCUGAUGUAGCCAUGCCGCGUGUAUGAAGAAGGCUGUCGGGUUGUAAAGUACUUUCAGCGGGGAGGCGUUACCCGCAGAAGAAGCACCGGCGAACUCCGUGCCAGCCGCCGCGGUAAUAC
rnacentral:rRNA from 1 species